rnacentral:tRNA from 1 species
GACGUGGCCAAGUGGAUUAAGGCAGG